rnacentral:rRNA from 1 species
GUGGGGAAUAUUGGGCAAUGGAUGCAAGUCUGACCCAGCCAUCCCGCGUGCCGGAAGAAGGCCCUCAGGGUUGUAAACGGCUUUUGACGGUGAAGAAUCGACAGGAUGCGUCCUGUUUUGACGGUAGCCGUUGAAUAAGCACCGGCUAACUCCGUGCCAGCAGCCGCGGUAAUACGGAGGGUGCGAGCGUUGUCCGGAUUUAUUGGGUUUAAAGGGUGCGUAGGCUGGAAGGUCAGUCAGCGGUGAAAAGCUAUCGCUUAACGAUAGUCUUGCCGCAGAUACUUCCUUUCUUGGAUGAGGAGGAGGCCACUGGAACGGAUGGUGUAGCGGUGAAAUGCAUAGAUAUCAUCCAGAACACCGAUUGCGAAGGCAGGUGGCUGUACCUUAAUCGACGCUGAUGCACGAAAGCAUGGGGAGCAAACAGGAUUAGAAACCCCUGUAGUCC